rnacentral:rRNA from 1 species
UACGUAGGCAGCAAGCGUUGUUCGGAAUUACUGGGCGUAAAGAGUACGUAGGUGGUUUGCCAAGUCCGAUGUGAAAUCUCCUGGCUUAACUGGGAGGGUGCGUUAGAUACUGGCAGGCUUGAGUGUGGGAGAGGAGAGCGGAAUUCCUGGUGUAGCGGUGAAAUGCGUAGAUAUCAGGAGGAACGCCUGUGGUGUAGACGGCUCCCUGGACCAUUACUGACACUGAGGUACGAAAGCGUGGGUAGCAAACAGG